CAGGGAGACAACAAAAUGUUUUUUAUUAUUUUGUCACCUUAGGUCGAUCGGUAUCUCACGUUCUUAACUAUUUAAGAAUUUCAAUUCCUAAGUUUUUCUAGGUCACACCCAUUAUUUUUCCUGGGCCAUUAGCUCAGGUGGCUAGAGCGCACCCCUGAUAAGGGUGAGGUCCCUGGUUCAAGUCCAGGAUGGCCCAUAUCUCUAUGUUGGGGGUAUAGCUCAGUUGGUAGAGCGCCUGCUUUGCAAGCAGGAUGUCAGCGGUUCGAGUCCGCUUACCUCCACUGAUUACCACCUCUUCCAUAAUCUAUAGAAAGGAAAUUUUUUGAGUUGUGAUCAACUUCUGAACGAAUCUAGCUUCCUAAUGAAAGCAUUAAGAUGCUGGACUCAUUGAAUUAAUUUCAUUGUUUUCAGAGAACCUUGACAACUGCAUAGAUUAUUUUUAAAGACAAUAAGCAUCUUUAAUGAUGCAGAUUUAUUAUUUGUGCAAAUGCAUUAAUAACAAUUCUAUUAAGCUGAUGCUUCAAUUUUGAAGUUAUU
rnacentral:tRNA from 1 species